rnacentral:lncRNA from 1 species
UCAACUUAACUAGAUUAAGGAAUACCUAGAGAACUGGUAAAGCAUUAUUUCUGAGUGUCUGUGAGGGUGUUUCCAAAGAAGACUGGUGUGUGAGUCAGCGAACUGAGUGAGGAAGAUCCACCCUCAACGUGGGUGAGCACCAUCCUGGCUGGGGGCUAGGACAGGACAAAAAAGGUAGAGAAAAGCCUUCAGCUUUGGACUGAGAGUUGCACCACUGGCUUCCUUGGAUCUGAGGCUUUUGGACUUGGACUGAGCCACAUAUACCAGCAUCCCCUGUCUCCAGCUUGCAGAUGGCCUCUCCUUGGGACUUCUCAGUCUCCAUAAUC